rnacentral:misc_RNA from 1 species
GUCCUAAAUUUUGCACACAUUCUGGUCUUAAAGAAGAUGCUUGUUGUUCCUUUAUUGACAGGGGGGUUGUUUGGCAGGGGCAUCCUAAAAUUCACGGAUUGGCUGCUGCUAUCCUCAGAGAUUCUUGUUCUUUUGUAAGGGGAUUGGUGCUGUUCAAACUGUGAAUGCAAGUCAAAUUGCUCGUUGCUGUUUGUAGGGAAUUGAGGCCAGACACCAAUGGCAUCAUUGCCUGGUUGAUAUGGAAGCUGUGUUGACAUAUAAGGAGGUCGAGAGUCGGGAUAACUCAUGAUGAUGUGUUGGUAUAUUUCAAGAAAGGAAAGAAGUAAUGAUAAAGGAUUGGGAGUAAUUGAAGAAUGCCCAGAUGAGAGUUUUGGCCUAAAACAAGAUUAAUUUGGGAAGAUCAAGAGAACAAAAAAUACCCUCUACUUGAACCAAUAAGAAAGUGAUCAAAGC